rnacentral:lncRNA from 1 species
CAAGGGGGUUCAAAGGGUCUCCAUUGAGCAACCCCAUACCCCAACCCCAUAGAUGAGGGGGUUUCAGACAUGGGGGUUCAAAGGGCCCCUAUUGAGCAACCCUAAAUCCUUACCCAGUAGAUGAGAGGAGUUUGGACAUGGGGGUUAAAAGGGUCCCCAUUGAGCAACCCUAAACCCCAACCCCAUAGAUGAGGGGGUUUCGUUCAAGGGGGUUAAAAGGGUCUCCAUUGAGCAACCCUAUACCCCAACCCCAUAGAUAAAGGGGUUCAGCCAAGGGAGAUGGGCUUCAAAGGGUCCCCAUUGAGCGACCCUAAAUCCCUACCCAGUAGAUGAGAGGAGUUUGGACAUGGGGGUUAAAAGGGUCUCCAUUGAGCAACCCCAUACGCCGACCCCAUAGAUGAGGGGGUUUCGUUCAAGGGGGUUCAAAGGGCCCCUAUUGAGCGACCCCACCCCAUAGAUGAGGGGGUUUCAGACAUGGGGGUUGAAAGGGCCCCUAUUGAGCGACCCUAAACCCCGACCCCAUAGAUGAGGGGGUUUC